rnacentral:lncRNA from 1 species
AAGGAGUUUAUUAUGUUUGGGCCUGUAGUUUGGGCCUUUGUUUGUUUGUUAUGUUGGGCUUGGUCCAGUUUGUACUAUGACCCGUUUAAUAAAAUUCCAGUAGAAAAAAAAAAGACUAGGUCCUAUUCCGUCUAAAACAUAAAAAGAAAAUUUUAUACUCGUAAUUUAUUAUACCACUUUUUAAUAUUUUAAAAUUUUAUAUAAUUUUUUUGAACGUUAUUUUUUUAGCAAGAAAUCUUAAUGCAUUAAAAAAUAAAGAGUUUAGAGGUUUAGAACUAGAUGGGUUGCUAGACAAGUCUUUGCAAGCCCAUUAGCCUGUCCAUUAUACAAAUGAGAAAUGAAAAAAAAAGACAAGAUAUGAAUGGAGAGUUUAAAGACGAAGAUAGAUUGGUAGAUAUAGAACUCCAUAGAGCUCCAUCGAUCGCCGGCGAGAAAAGAUAGCUCUGACGAGCUCUUAAGAGUCUGUGCAAAGACAUAUAUGUUGGUAGUUGAGUGAAGUCGUGUGGAGCAGUGCCUAGGGGUGGGCAUUUUACCCGAAAUCCAAAGUGGCAUCCGAAUCCGAUCCGAAAAACCCGAACCGAAAUCCGAACCGAAGUAGCAAAAUAUCCGAACGGAUAUUGAAUUAGGAGAGAUUGGAUAUCCGAACCCGAACGGGUAAUAUCCGAACCCGAAUGGAUAUCCGAAAAUAACCGAACAUAUGAUAAUUAAUCUUAUAUUUAUAGUUUACAUCUUUCAUUUUAUAUAAAAUAUUUAUAUUGAUACUACACAUACUUUAAUUUCAUAUGAUAUACAUACAAUUACGUAGAAGAUGAUUUGCUAUUCGCUUAAAAUGCAUGUCAAACUUCUUAUUUCAGCAAUUAACAAAAAGUUACAUCCAAAAUUUAAAAACAAUAACCAAAUUAAUGUCUUUUUAGUUUGAAAAUGUUAUGUCCAAAUAUAUUAACCAUGCAAUCUAUUAAAAAUAAAAAAUAGUUAAGUGAAAAAUUAUAUAUUUAAAUACAAGAAAUUUGAGAAAUGAAAAUUUUCAUUUUUUUUUCUUCAAAAUCUAAAUAUCCGAACCCGAUCCGAAAUAACCGAAACCGAACUUAAAAUACCCGAACCCGACCCGAAGUACAGAAAUACCCGAACGGGUUCUACACCUCUAUACCGAAAUACCCGAAAAUCCGAAAUACCCGACCCGAACCCGAACGGGUACCCGAACGCCCACCCCUAGCAGUGCCUCUCUAAUGGCAAAAGCCUACCCCAUGC